CUACGUGCCAGCAGCCGCGGUAAUACGGAAGGUCCGGGCGUUAUCCGGAUUUAUUGGGUUUAAAGGGAGCGUAGGCCGGAGAUUAAGUGUGUUGUGAAAUGUAGACGCUCAACGUCUGACUUGCAGCGCAUACUGGUUUCCUUGAGUACGCACAACGUUGGCGGAAUUCGUCGUGUAGCGGUGAAAUGCUUAGAUAUGACGAAGAACUCCGAUCGCGAAGGCAGCUGACGGGAGCGCAACUGACGCUUAAGCUCGAAGGUGCGGGUAUCAAACAGGAUUAGAUACCCUGGUAGUCCGCACAGUAAACGAUGGAUGCCCGCUGUUGGUACCUGGUAUCAGCGGCUAAGCGAAAGCAUUAAGCAUCCCACCUGGGGAGUACGCCGGCAACGGUGAAACUCAAAGGAAUUGACGGGGGCCCGCACAAGCGGAGGAACAUGUGGUUUAAUUCGAUGAUACGCGAGGAACCUUACCCGGGCU
rnacentral:rRNA from 1 species